rnacentral:rRNA from 1 species
UACGUAGGCAGCGAGCGUUGUUCGGAAUUACUGGGCGUAAAGAGUGUGUAGGCGGUGUUCCCAGUCUGUUGUGAAAUCUCCCGGCUUAACUGGGAGGGUGCAGCGGAAACUAGAAUGCUAGAGGGUGGGAGAGGUAAGCGGAAUUCCUGGUGUAGCGGUGAAAUGCGCAGAUAUCAGGAGGAACACCAAUGGCGAAGGCAGCUCGCUGGGACGGUACUGACGCUGAGACGCGAAAGCGUGGGGAGCAAACAGG